CCUACGGGGGCUGCAGUGGGGAAUAUUGGGCAAUGGGGGAAACCCUGACCCAGCGACGUCGCGUGAGGGAAGAAGGUCUUCGGAUUGUAAACCUUUGUCAACAGGGAAGAAGCAAGUGACGGUACCUGAAGAGGAAGCCACGGCUAACUACGUGCCAGCAGCCGCGGUAAUACGUAGGUGGCGAGCGUUAUCCGGAAUUACUGGGUGUAAAGGGUGUGUAGGCGGGGAUGCAAGUCAGAUGUGAAAUCCAUGGGCUCAACCUAUGGUGUGCAUUU
rnacentral:rRNA from 1 species